rnacentral:misc_RNA from 1 species
UACAGGGGGUGCAAGCGUUGUUCGGAAUUAUUGGGCGUAAAGCGCGUGUAGGCGGCGCUGUAAGUUGGGUGUGAAAGCCCUCGGCUCAACCGAGGAAGUGCGCCCAAAACUGCAGUGCUUGAGUACCGGAGAGGGUGGCGGAAUUCCCCAAGUAGAGGUGAAAUUCGUAGAUAUGGGGAGGAACACCAGUGGCGAAGGCGGCCACCUGGACGGAUACUGACGCUGAGACGCGAAAGCGUGGGGAGCAAACAGG